AUACGGAGGGUGCAAGCGUUGUUCGGAAUUACUGGGCGUAAAGCGCGUGCAGGCGGUUUGGUAAGUCAGAUGAGAAAGCCCUGGGCUCAACCCGGGAAGUGCAUUUGAAACUGCCUUUCUUGAGUAUGGGAGAGGAGAGUGGAAUUCCCAGUGUAGAGGUGAAAUUCGUAGAUAUUGGGAGGAACACCCGUGGCGAAGGCGACUCUCUGGACCAAUACUGACGCUGAGACGCGAAAGCGUGGGGAGCAAACAGGAUUAGAAACCCCAGUAGUCC
rnacentral:rRNA from 1 species